rnacentral:rRNA from 1 species
AGUGAACGCUGGCGGCAGGCCUAACACAUGCAAGUCGAGCGGCAGCGGGUCCUUCGGGCUGCCGGCGAGCGGCGGACGGGUGAGAAAUGCGUCGGAAUCUGCCUUUUUGUGGGGGAUAACGUAGGGAAACUUACGCUAAUACCGCAUACGACCUACGGGUGAAAGUGGGGGACCGCAAGGCCUCACGCAGAAAGAUGAGCCGACGUCGGAUUAGCUAGUUGGCGGGGUAAAGGCCCACCAAGGCGACGAUCCGUAGCUGGUCUGAGAGGAUGAUCAGCCACACUGGAACUGAGACACGGUCCAGACUCCUACGGGAGGCAGCAGUGGGGAAUAUUGGACAAUGGGCGCAAGCCUGAUCCAGCCAUGCCGCGUGUGUGAAGAAGGCCUUCGGGUUGUAAAGCACUUUUGUCCGGAAAGAAAUCCUGUCGGCUAAUACCCGGCGGGGAUGACGGUACCGGAAGAAUAAGCACCGGCUAACUUCGUG